UACGUAUGUCCCGAGCGUUAUCCGGAUUUAUUGGGCGUAAAGCGAGCGCAGACGGUUAAUUAAGUCUGAUGUGAAAUCCCGGAGCUCAACUCCGGAAUGGCAUUGGAUACUGGUUAACUUGAGUGCAGUAGAGGUAAGUGGAACUCGAUGUGUAGCGGUGAAAUGCGUAGAUAUAUGGAAGAACACCAAUUGCGAAGGCAGCUUACUGGACUGUAACUGACGCUGAGGCUCGAAAGCGUGGGGAGCAAACAGG
rnacentral:rRNA from 1 species